UGAUGACUUCUUAACAGUAGUCCCAUUUAAAACCAACCAGCUGCCCAGGAUAUUAACCACUGUCUCCAGGCAUGGUGCUCAGUGCCAUUAACGGCACUGCUGAUUUCCAGUAGAGCAGCUCUGGAAAUGUUAUCCAGCCUGGACCACAGAUUUCAUGACUUCUGUUGCAAAAUCUUUGCAACUUUAAUCUAAAACAUUUCCCAGCUUCUUAAUGCAACCAUGCAAUCCAGGUGGACACAAGAAAUCCUGAGCCUUCUUUCCAGUGACACUUGGAAAUCCUCCUGAUGCUUGAGCAGCUGCUGUGCCAUGACUGCUCUGCAACACAGUGACCUGUCUUGUUCCCUUCCACCCUGCUGUCUAUCCGCUUAUCUGCUUUCUUCCUAUGCUGCCACAAAGGUGCCAAUCUCUCUGAUUUCCAAUUGACUCUUUGGCUGUGCAUGACCCUACCUGGUCCUCAUCCUGUGAAAUGAAAGGAGUGGCAACUUACCAACUUGCAAAGUUGUCACAAUAACUUUUGUGUAGUG